rnacentral:rRNA from 1 species
UACAGAGGUCUCAAGCGUUGUUCGGAUUCAUUGGGCGUAAAGGGUGCGUAGGCGGCGCGGUAAGUCGGGUGUGAAAUCUCGGAGCUUAACUCCGAAACUGCAUUCGAUACUGCCGUGCUUGAGGACUGGAGAGGAGACUGGAAUUUACGGUGUAGCGGUGAAAUGCGUAGAUAUCGUAAGGAAGACCAGUGGCGAAAGCGGCUUCCUGGUCCAGCACCGACGUUCAGGCACGAAAGCGUGGGGAGCAAACAGG